rnacentral:rRNA from 1 species
AACGAACGCUGGCGGCAGGCUUAACACAUGCAAGUCGAGCGAGACCUUCGGGUCUAGCGGCGGACGGGUGAGUAACGCGUGGGAACGUGCCCUUCUCUACGGAAUAGCCCCGGGAAACUGGGAGUAAUACCGUAUACGCCCUUUGGGGGAAAGAUUUAUCGGAGAAGGAUCGGCCCGCGUUGGAUUAGGUAGUUGGUGGGGUAAUGGCCCACCAAGCCGACGAUCCAUAGCUGGUUUGAGAGGAUGAUCAGCCACACUGGGACUGAGACACGGCCCAGACUCCUACGGGAGGCAGCAGUGGGGAAUCUUAGACGAUGGGGGCAACCCUGAUCGAGCCAUGCCGCGUGAGUGAUGAAGGCCUUAGGGUUGUAAAGCUCUUUCAGCUGGGAAGAUAAUGACGGUACCAGCAGAAGAAGCCCCGGCUAACUCCGUG